rnacentral:lncRNA from 1 species
AUGCCCCCAGUGCUGCCAACUGCAACAGCGGGGAGUUCAGUUCCUGCUUGGCCCUGGCAGAGCCCAGUGCCGCCAGGCAGGACGAGCGCCGCCGGGACCCCUCGCCCUCCCCACACCACUGGUGGUGCUGCCCUGGCCCACAGCCCCAAGCACCUCCAGGCUCUGCCCGAGCCCUCCGUGGGUGUCCAUCACCCGGCCGAGAGCCUCCUCACUCCUGCAAAGGCCCCGGUGCAGCUGCAGCACCGCGCAGCUCAGGGAGCACCAGUGCGUCCUGACCCGGAGCGGUGCAGGGACCCUGCAGGGCCGGCUGGGGCCUCCUGCCAGCAGCGAGGCCAGCACGAGCGCACUCACCGGUGCAGGUCUGGCAGCCGCGGCACCGGCACAGCGAAGGCACGGAUAGUGGCAGGGAGCCGGUGCGCCAGGCACCCACAGCUCCCCUGGGUCCUCAGCAGCAGCAGCACGGAGCCAGCACGUCCCCUGCCCAGCCCCGGGGGUGCAGCCCUGCAGAGCGCUGCCCGCCAGCCUCAGCUCCCCCUGCGCAGGGGAGCAGGCUGGGCGCUGGCCCAAGAGGCACCCAUCGCAGCUUUUGUGCUUCCUGACCUCAGACUGAGCUGCAGGGGAGGCAGCAGUAAAAGCUGCUCCCCUUUUAUCACCUGUGAGGGAAGUGCCGAGCACUGCCCCGAGAAGCCCCAUGUGCACGUGAUGGCUCGGACCACACCUGGUCAAGGCAUGGGAGAGCCCCCGGCCAGCUGCCCCUGCUGCUCGCAAGCCCCCUGGUGGGGCCCAGUGCCACCCGUAUCUUAUUCCAGGGCUUCUCUGGGCCAAGCAGCUCCUGGUGCUCCCCAGCCCGUAGGGACCAGGUCAACGGGAGCGCCCUGGCUGGCAAAGCUCAGCUGGGGAGACGCACCUCACCGCCCCACGGGCACGGGCCCUCGUGCAGCGGGGCAGGGGAGCCGUGGGGCAGGGGAGCCGUGGGGCAGGGGAGCCGUGGGGCAGCCAGGCUGGGAGCAGCACUGGCAUCCAUCCUGCGCAGGCUGCGAGGCUGCAGUGUGCUGA